rnacentral:rRNA from 1 species
UCGGGAGUAUUGGGCAAUGGGCGAAAGCCUGACCCAGCAACGCCGCGUGAGGGAUGAAGGUCUUCGGGUCGUAAACCUCUGUCGGGAGGGAAGAAAGGUCGGCGAAUCAAUACCUCGUCGGCUUGACGGUACCUCCAAAGGAAGCACCGGCUAACUCCGUGCCAGCAGCCGCGGUAAUACGGAGGGUGCAAGCGUUGUUCGGAAUCACUGGGCGUAAAGCGCGUGUAGGCGGCUUGGCAAGUCGGUUGUGAAAUCCCGAGGCCCAACCUCGGAACUGCAACCGAAACUGCCUCGCUCGAGUCCUGGAGAGGGUGGCGGAAUUUCCGGUGUAGAGGUGAAAUUCGUAGAUAUCGGAAGGAACACCAGUGGCGAAGGCGGCCACCUGGACAGUGACUGACGCUGAGACGCGAAAGCGUGGGGAGCCAACAGGAUUAGAUACCCCCGUAGUCC